rnacentral:rRNA from 1 species
UACAGAGGGUGCAAGCGUUAAUCGGAAUUACUGGGCGUAAAGCGUGCGUAGACGGUUACAUAAGUCGGGUGUGAAAGCCCCGGGCUCAACCUGGGAAUUGCAUUCGAGACUGCGUAGCUAGGGUGCGGAAGAGGGAAGCGGAAUUUCCGGUGUAGCGGUGAAAUGCGUAGAUAUCGGAAGGAACAUCAGUGGCGAAAGCGGCUUCCUGGCCAGCACCGACGUUCAGGCACGAAAGCGUGGGGAGCAAACAGG